rnacentral:rRNA from 1 species
UACGUAGGUGGCGAGCGUUAUCCGGAAUUAUUGGGCGUAAAGAGCGCGCAGGUGGUUGAUUAAGUCUGAUGUGAAAGCCCACGGCUUAACCGUGGAGGGUCAUUGGAAACUGGUCGACUUGAGUGCAGAAGAGGGAAGUGGAAUUCCAUGUGUAGCGGUGAAAUGCGUAGAGAUAUGGAGGAACACCAGUGGCGAAGGCGGCUUCCUGGUCUGUAACUGACACUGAGGCGCGAAAGCGUGGGGGAGCAAACAGG